AGUUAAAUACGUAUUUUUGCAGAUAUAACGUUCGUAUAAUGGUCGAACAGUUUCUACCGCCUUCCAAAGUUGGCGACUAUCCGCAAAUGCUAUUAGUGA
rnacentral:ncRNA from 2 species